rnacentral:lncRNA from 1 species
AAAUAAAAUUGUCACUACCUAAAUGUUUUACCCCUUUGUUCUUAUUUUAAAGUUUUGUAAAAAGGAAUUCUUUAUUCUUUUUUUUUUUUUUUAAUUUAACGGGGGACCUGGAGGUCCUCUUACCAUAGAGAUGAGUGAGGAUAAACCAGCCCACAGUGACAGGAAGUAGGACCCAGGAGCCCCCUGCUGGGCCAACAGCAGUUGGUCAGGGCUGUCAGUUGCUGACAGUCAGGAGAGUCAGUUGCUGACAAUUAGGGCUGGGAGUUGCAGGGAAGUUGGCUGCUUGGAGAUGAAAUAUGUGAAAACAAAAUCUUCAGCAGAGAAAAUAUACAUCCUAACAAUCAAUGGCAGCAAAGACAAAUAUCUUGGAGCACAUGGACCAUUCUCAUUGGAUUCAAACUUUCAUCAGUGAGAUGGAUAUUUAUACCUAUAGGAUAAAUGAAUUAUCCAAAUGCAAAGAUCUAGAAGCCCUGGCAAAAGGAUGACUUCGAUCAUAUCCUCUUUAGUUGUUUCAGGAGGGAUAGAGGUGAAUAAACAUCAGUCUUGAGGCUGACA